UCCCUAUGGGGUGCAGCAGGCGCGAAAACUUUACAAUGCGGGCAACCGUGAUAAGGGGACACCGAGUGCCAGCAACAUUUGCUGGCUGUCCACGUGCGUAAAAUACACGUGUUAGCAAGGGCCGGGCAAGACCGGUGCCAGCCGCCGCGGUAACACCGGCGGCCCGAGUGGUGAUCGUUAUUAUUGGGUCUAAAGGGUCCGUAGCCGGUUUGGUCAGUCUUCCGGGAAAUCUGUCAGCUCAACUGAUAGGCUAUCGGGGGAUACUGCUAGACUUGGAACCGGGAGAGGUAAGAGGUACUACAGGGGUAGGAGUGAAAUCUUGUAAUCCCUGUGGGACCACCUGUGGCGAAGGCGUCUUACCAGAACGGGUUCGACGGCGAGGGACGAAAGCUGGGGGCACGAACCGGAUUAGAUACCCGGGUAGUCCCAGCCGUAAACGAUGCUCGCUAGGUGUCAUGCAUGGUGCGACCGUGUAUGGUGCCGUAGGGAAGCCGUGAAGCGAGCCACCUGGGAAGUACGACCGCAAGGCUGAAACUUAAAGGAAUUGGCGGGGGAGCACAACAACGGGUGGAGCCUGCGGUUUAAUUGGAUUCAACGCCGGAA
rnacentral:rRNA from 1 species